rnacentral:rRNA from 1 species
GUAGGUGGCAAGCGUUGUCCGGAUUUACUGGGCGUAAAGGGCGUGCAGGCGGUUUGUUAAGUUCAGGGUGAAAGCUCCCGGCUCAACUGGGAGAGGUCCUUGGAUACUGGCAGACUUGAGGGAGGUAGAGGAGAGUGGAAUUCCCGGUGUAGUGGUGAUAUGCGUAGAUAUCGGGAGGAACACCAGUGGCGAAGGCGGCUCUCUGGGCCUUUCCUGACGCUGAGACGCGAAAGCGUGGGGAGCGAACCGGAUUAGAUACCCGGGUAGUCCACGCCGUAAACUAUGAACACUAGGUGUGGGGGUAUCGACCCCCUCCGUGCCGAAGCUAACGCAAUAAGUGUUCCGCCUGGGGAGUACGGCCGCAAGGCUA